rfam:Jatropha curcas cultivar GZQX0401 scaffold532_43, whole genome shotgun sequence.
AACCCAUGUUGCGGACAGCUUGCGCACAUUUUCUUAAAUCUCUCCCAAUACUCAUGUAGAGUGUCAUUAUUCUUUUGUCCACUCCCACAAAUAUCUCUUCUAAUGCU